UCAAUAGUUGCAAUUUUUUGAAACCGCAUCGGUAGUACAUUGCGAGAGCACAAGUGCCCUUAAAAAAAGAAAACCCUGGAACAUUAACAUACUGAUUUCAUGCGCAUGGCAAAGGGCCUGAGCCAAUAUCAGAGAGGACUCAGCACUCCUAUUGUCUGCUGGGACUCUGGUCCCCUCUGAUAUGAAAAUUCAAUUAUUUUAUAACUAGAUCUGGCGCUGCGUUUUGACAGUCGACAGUAGCGCCUUGCCAACUGCAUCAGUGUGGGGGACCAGAGGCUCCUGAUAGCGAGAGGGAGGCCUUUCAGACAUUGACAUGUUUUUGGGGGACAAGAUUGCCUAAAUGUGUUGCAUUUAAGGACUGAAAGUUAAUCUAAUGCACCACCAUUAUCUCACUCAGGUAAUUCCAAUACCAUCCUCAAUCUAUGUUUACGCUCGUGCACACAGCCGCAUACUCGCACAUCCAUUCAUUCUUCAGCACUUUGAAUCUGAUUCCCAGGCUUUCUGCAUCCAAACAGGUAAUGUAUUUAUUUAUAUUUCUGCCGUGCAUAUUCUCAGGCAGCUGGAAACUAUAUAAAAUAGAAGUAGUUUUCUAAGGGACAUCAGCAGUUUCUAGAUUGUAAUUCUGUAGGAAGACACACAAGAAAACAUACCCAAUAUGAAAUGGUACUUGGUGUCAAAAAUAUAUUUUUUUUAACAGGAACAGUUUCCCAAGUACUUUUAUACUUUUGCAUUGCUUGGUACAAAUAGUAUAUACAUACAAUAGUUAUAUAUACUGAGUUACAUACACGUCACUGUGAAAUAUGGACACCUUUCCCACAAAUAUUUUGCAAAUAUCUUUGUCUGAAAGAAGAAGAAAUAUCACUUUCUAUAAGUGCACUGGUUGUUUUGUUGUCAUAUAUACUGUAUUUUAAAUCCAGAAUUUCCUCCAUGUUAAUGUUACAUUAGUACAGACACCAAACCUUUCGAGGUGCUAUCCACACACACAUAUAAGAUGGCCUAUUUUCCGAGUUUAUGGGACAAAUCCUUUCAUUACCUCCGUGGCUCAUUGUGAGUGUUCUGAGGGGGGUCUGUUAAGAUUAGGGAACAGGAAGCAGCCCCCUGGUAUGGCCCUCUCUACUCAGACCCCACUGUGUUGCGCUUAUUAACCCAGCCUGGGAGAAGACGUACCUGCCUCCCCUCAUUAGGCCGUGGUGGAGUACGCGCUCAGCCUGCAGAAGAAUGGAACAUUAAUUUGUAUUCUCUGCAGGGGGAACUGCCAUUAGCACUUAAUUAGCAGUAAGAGUACCAUUCAGUCGGGCGGCCAGUUAGUGUCUAACACAAUAUGUUCUGUGUCUUUUCCCUGUGUGUCAUGGUAAAACGCUGAUGAAAGACCUUGUUGUUUGUGCAUGUGUGUUGAGCAGAGGGCUGCUUCCAUGUACGUUCCAUAUAUUUUCUUUCUUUUAUGUCCUUUUUCUUUUCAUAUGCAGCUCAUCAGACCAAAGGUGUCAUGGCUUGUUGUCUUUAUGGUUUUUUUCUGCAGAAUUUUAGUUUGAAUACAUCUAGAAGAGCGCCAUAAACCCCCUUGGAAACGAGAUGCUACAUCCCGAGGGUUUUAUUCUGAUAUAAUAAGUUUGAUUUGAUUUUGAAAAAAGAUGGUUUUAAGGCACAGUAAAGGCCCGUGUUCCCAAGACGGCAUGCCUCUAUAUACUUAUCUCUAAGAUUUAACUGUGUGCAGCCCUCUCGCAGCUGUUGACCUCGAUGAGGGCAAACGUUGUAUUCUCAUCUGCCCGCACAGCUCGGCACGGGGUGGUAAAGUGGAUGAUUAGGGGAUUGAGGUCAACUUUCCCCAUUGGUCUCAGGGAAGUUCCUUUGAUCUGCUGAGUAGGCAUUCUUCUCUCUUUUCUCUGUGUUCUCUGUCCAGCACUGUCACCACCGAGGAGGACAAGGGAGGCUGUUAACCCACCUCAGUCCUAUCCUCAGCCUCACUGGUCCUCACUCUCCUCCUGUACUCACCCCUCCACCUUCCCCGCCAACAGCUUUUGGAGCCUCAGGCUGAUGGUGGCGGUGGUACCUUUCACUUCCCGAAAUCUGAGAGGCGGAGAGCUGUCAUUUGCCAAUUUGGCCUGAAUGGGGCGGACAGCGGAUUGAAUGUCGUUUUCCCACCAGGCUGCGCCAUCCAGACCAGCAGGGGAGGGAGGGGGAUACAGCGAGUGGGGUGUAAUGCUAGAGUAAAAUUAGAGCUUUGAUGGCAGCUAAUAGUGUGUGAUGGGUGGCGCUGACGUGGAUUUCCAGUAAAGACGCCACAGGUUCCCUCUCUCUCCCUGUCUUGCAACCAAGCACUGACACACCUAUAAGAUUAUGUGGGCCCUGCCUUCUUUCUCAGAGCUGUAAUUUCUCCCUGAUCAAUUUAAUUAUACAUCUCCAACUCCAAGCCUGCCUCUGUCAAAAGGCCAGACCGGUCCUGUUUCUGUGUGCCUGCCUCUCUCUCUCUCUCUCUCUCUCUCUCUCUCUCUCUCUCUCUCACUCUCUCUCUCACACACACACACACACACACACACACACACACACACACACACACACAUCAUGCUUUGAGCAAGUAAAUACACUACAGAACAAGACCCACAGAUUUUGUUACCAAAGUCCUCCACCUUACAUUAGUGUAUGACACUGUAGUAGGUAUUAGUGCUAAAAUGAUUACUCAAUUAACCCUCAUGUUCUGUUUGGGGUCCUGGAGACCCCGAGCCCUCUUUCACAGCUCAAAAGACAAACUUAACAUUGUUUUAUCAGCUUGAUACUUCAAGACUUUUCUUAAUUUUAUGAGAAUUGCUUAUAAACCAUGUUUCAGUUGUCUGCUAUAUAAAAUGACGCGUAACUUCUGUUAGUGGUCACAGCUGUAAAACAUGGUUAAAUGCAAAGGAUCUUCAUAUGCUCUAGAUCUGUGUUGUUGUUGACAGAAUUUUUUACAGAGCACUCCCAAAUCCCAAAUAAGUCAAUUUGAAUUUCUGUUAUUGGAAUUUUAAAACAGUUUGUUGAUAAAUGGUCUUACAGUCUCAUUGACCCCAAACAUUAGUCCUAUCUGUCUGUGAAUGACUUUUUGGCAAACAAAAUGAAUUUGUUCAUGCAUAGCCCAUAUGACAUAUAAAACAUAAAAUAUUUUAUUUGUAUAAUAACAAUGCUUUAUGGCCAUAUCUGUAUUUUGCCACCUUCAUCAAACCGAAGAGUUACCAAGUCAAUACUUUUCUACAGACUGUAUUUAGAAAAUAUAUAUAUAUUUAGGGAAAAAAUUGCUUGAUUUUUGCAAUUAUUACUUUUACAUGUACAGCAUUGGGGUAUGUGGGAACAACAGAGUAAGCAAAGCCAAUGUCAACAAAAAUAGGUUUAAUCGAUUAGUCAGUUUACAGAAAACGAAUCAAAAACUAUUUUAAUAAUUGAUGAAUAAUUUUACCAAAUAAAAAGGCUGAGGAUUUGCAGCUUUUUUCUGUUGCAUAUCAUUAUAAACUGAAUCCCUUUGGGUGUUUUAACUGUUGAUCAGGCAAAAUAAGCAAUUGGAAGACAACACCUACUGGCCAUUUGUUGCCUUUGUUGCAUUACUUGCAGUGCUGGUAGGUUUAUUGCAACCUUUGAUUAAUCUGCAGGAAUCAGAAUAUGAGGUAGCUAAGUGCAUUUUUAGUUACUUUGAGUUUACAGUAUUGUGAUAAGUUACUAAAUGGAUUUGUGUUGUGCUGGAUGGGAAGGGUCCCAGGUAUUGCAGCUGUUUCCUUCAGGGGUUUUUAACAUUCAUCACUUAAGCCCUCCCUCCCUCCCACCCUGCUGCCCACUGAGAGGCACGAGGAUGCACGAAACACAACACUGGGACCCGCCUCAGGGCUACACAGACACAGAGACACAUACACUACAUUAGAUGUUUUGAUAGCUUUUGAGGCACGAGCAGCACUGUGAUGCUCUGACAUAUGGAAGCUUAAAGGCUUCUUAAAUAUCCAUAUCAAUCUGCACCCUUGUCAGCUUGACAAUGACGGAAACAGAACACCAUUAACAGCAUCACACAGUAUCAUCCUCAUCUGUGCAACAUUAGAGGAAUAGAUGGCUCUCUGGAAGACAUACCUCUGGACAUUAGCCAAGCCAGUGCACUGAAUGGAAUUAUAGUUUUUGGUUGGUUGUAAUAUUUAACUGUUGGACCUAAAUGUUGGGUGUGAUACACGUGUUCUCAGGCUUAUUUUUAAACAACUCUAUCAGAGUGUUAUGUGGGGUUGGAGCUUCCUUGUUCGGUUCAAGAGUCAGAAAUAUAAUAUCCUGUUUUAAAAUGGAUCUGAUUGCAUUGAUUUCAAUGUUCUGCUCUUUCUUGGUAAUGGGUAUAUGCUUGUGACCGUGCGAGGUGAUUGUCCUCUUCCUGCUGCAUAGAAAGCAUUGUACUCUGCUCUCCCGGGAUGGGAGAUGUUUUGUUUUUUUGAGCUCUUUCACACCAGCUCUCCCUCUUUCUUUUUUUUUCUUUUUUUAACACAAUAGCCCUCUCUCCUCUCACCCAGCAUGGAAACCCUUUCAAACGGGAGGAUCCAGGUCAGUUUCCCUUGCCAAGUUUUGCAGCCUGCCAUGUUGUCUAUUCUGCUCAGCUAUUUAAAAAAUGUUGAAUAUCAACAAUGGCUUUCACUGGUGUAUUGUCAACUUUUGUAUGAAGCAAUCUUGGCUGAAUGAGAUGGGUCCCAGAGCAGGGAGAGCUCAGCUUCAGUGUGCACUACCACACCAGUGACUGCCCGGCUCUCUCGCUCUUUACAUAUUUCUCUGCUGCACUGGGAGCUAUCAUGGUGGGGGUGCUCCCGUCUUACUGGCCGUGGGCUGAGGCUCUGGGCUGUGGAUGUCACUGCUAUCUUCGAGUCCAUGGUCCUGCUGCUCCUGGGCCUGCUGACAGCCAGCUGUUGAAGGUGUGUCCAACAGAGGGAUUGGGAAGCAGCAGCAGCCUUGGGACCAGUCAGAGCUUGGUUUGAGUGACAGUCCCUUCACCUAAUGACCGAACUUUUACUGCCUCAGAUGGGCCCACAGUAAGAAAUGAUCGCCGGGGUCGCGUCCCAACAUGUGAAGGAGGGGUAGCAGGAGUGGGUGCAGGAGGGACAUGGAUGGUCAGGACUCAGUGGUGCCAGAGGUCCACCUGCAGUAGCUGGCGACUCCACUGACAGCCCAGCAGGGGACAGUGAGGGUGGUGGUCUUCACACCUCUCUGGAAUAAUUAGGAAGCUUGGGAGUUCAGUAGAUGACGGUGAAGCAGCCGAGGAUUAGGGAUGGAGAUAAGGAGACGUUAAAAAGUCAUCGUGUUUGUAUGGUGCCACUGUGUCUCAGAUGUCCUCAUGCUCUGGAGUGGCCUGUUAUUCCUGUCCCUGAGGGUGUGUUCCCGGCACAGCAGCUCCAGUAACAUAGGCAGGUGGAAGCAUGGAGGCACAGCCAGCACUUGGACCCGGCACGCCAAGUUUUGAAUUAUUAUUUUGUUAGUUACAGUUAGGUGUUUCAUCACUUGCAUCACACCUCAAUCUGCUCUAUCUGUGACUCACAUGGUAUGUCCUGUUCAGGCCUUCCCUUAACCUGACUCAUUUAGGCUAUAUUCAUACCAAAUCAGACAUUGAGGCGAUUAACGCAGGGUUAUUUCUCCAAAAGUUGAUUCUGUUUUUUCGGCAUCCCCUGUGGUCCCCACCACCGUAGCCCACAUUCAAAUGAAUGGGAGGACUGGCGUUUUCGCCGCAUCGCCUGAUUUGGUGUGAAUACACCCUUAAACCACAAACCCUUGUAUCUCACGGCCUCUUUGAUGAUGACGCUAUGUUUAUUUUGUUUCCCUUUUUUUCACAUUAUCAUAAUUCUAGUUUUGAGCCUACUGGUCAGUCCUACUGGUGUUGACAUUUUCAGCUCAAUAAUCACCAAAGAAAUGUAGGGUACUGACUGACAUAUUUAGAAACAAAUAAAAACACAAAUGAAAAUUAUGUUACUGUAGAAUACGAUAUAGAUGUAAUAAAAGGUGAUGAAAACAUAAUGUGACACCUACUGAGUGGCAGCAGUAAUUACAGAAUGAAUGAGUGAAAUACAUUUUUUUAUGUCUUGUCAAAAGGAUGACAAACCCUAUCAAGCUUAUAAGACACCAUCCAAGUAACAGUUACAAGAGUUAAUCUACAAAUACACAUAUACUAUAUAUGCAGAUGUAUGUCACCUCACUGUACCAAUUUGAAAUGCUGCACUAUACAUAAAACAAACAAACAAUGAAAAAAAAAAAACAAAACAAGAAGGGUCAACCAUCUUAAAUACUAGGCCUUUACCAUAGGUAGUGGCCUUAUGUCUGUUCCAAGCUUCAGAAAUAAAAUCUGCAAAUUCAAAAACUUUGCUUUCAUACCUCACUUUACUUUUCUUUGGACUUAAUGUUUCAUAUAACCCUUUCACUUAUCCCCAUCAUCAUUUCCACUUGUUUUGUUUUCAGUUUCACAUUUGUUUUCACCCAGAUCACAGUACCUACACCAGUGUUCAAAUUCCUCAAUCCUACGACCUGUUUCAGUUAGAGCUGAAAUAGUUAGUCAAUUAAUUGAUUUGUCAAUUGACAGAAAUUGAAUUGGCAAAAAUUUUGAUAAUUGAUUAAUUGUUUUUUAAGCACAAACGGCUGGCUAGAUCUUCUACAAUGUCAGAAUUUGCCGCAUUUUUGUUUUAUAUAAUUGUAAAUUGAGUAUCUUUGGGUUUUGGACUGUUGAACACAAGACGUUUGAAGAUGUGACCUUGAAGAUGGACUAUGGAAAACUGUGAUGGCCAUCUUUCUCUAGUUUCAGAGAUUUUAAAGAUGAAAUGAUGAAUUAAGAGAAUAAUAUGUAUAUUUAUCAAUAAUGAAAAUAAUCAUUAGUUUCAGUAUAAAAGUAGAGUCUUCGAUCUCAAUUGUGCACACAGUGAUCUGUGUUUUUUAAGUGGUAAAUAAAUAUAUUUUUCACGAAUCAUUCUGUGUCAGAAGGUGAAAUGUACAAAGCUUUGGCUUAGUUUAAAUAUGUUGUGACUGUUUUCUUUGAUAUUCAAUAAACAUUUGAUGCUUUAA